rnacentral:rRNA from 1 species
AUCGGCCACACUGACUGAGACACGGCCCAGACUCCUACGGGAGGCAGCAGUGGGGAAUAUUGCACAAUGGGCAAGCCUGAUGCAGCGACGCCGCGUGAGGGAUGACGGCCUUCGGGUUGUAAACCUCUCAGUAGGGACGAAGCUUCGGUGACGGUACCUGCAGAAGAAGCACCGGCCAACUACGUGAGCAGCCGCGGUAAUACGUAGGGUGCGAGCGUUGUCCGGAAUUACUGGGCGUAAAGAGCGUAGGCGGUUUGUCGCGUCGUCUGUGAAAUUCUGCAACUCAAUUGCAGGCGUGCAGGAUACGGGCAGACUUGAGUACUACAGGGGAGACUGGAAUUCCUGGUGUAGCGGUGAAAUGCAGAUAUCAGGAGGAACACCGGUGGCGAAGGCGGGUCUCUGGGUAGUAACUGACGCUGGAGCGAAAGCGUGGGUAGCGAACAGGAUUAGAUACCCUGGUAGUCCACGCCGUAAAC